GUUAUAUUGAGAAUUUCGGACUUUUAAUCCGUUGGUCGAGCGUUCGAAUCGCUCACGACCCACCA
rnacentral:tRNA from 1 species